rnacentral:rRNA from 1 species
GGAUUAGGUAGUUGUUUUUAAGGAAAAAGCUUACAAAGCCGAUAAUCCUUAAUUGAUCUGAGUAGGAUGAUCAAUCACACUAAGACUGAGACAAGGCUUAGACUUUUUAAAAGGCAGCAGUGAGGAAUUUUGGACAAUGAGUGCAAGCUUGAUCCAGCAAUAUAAAGUGAAUGACAGAAAGCCAUUUUCGGUUGUAAAGUUCUUUUAUUAAAAAAUAUUAUGACUUAUUUAAUGAAAAAACCCGAGCAAAUUUCGUGCCAGCAGCUGCGGUGAUACGAGACGGGUUAGUGUUAUUCAGAAUUAUUGGGCGUAAAAGGUGUGUAGACUACUAUUGUUGUAAAUAUUUAAAGCUUAAACUUGACACUUUUAAGAGAUAUUUUAAACAAAUAGUUUGAGUAUAGUAUAAGAUUAUAGAAUUUCAGGAGGAAAAAUAAAAUUUGUAGAUACCUGAAGGAAUGCCGAAGGCGAAAGCAAUAAUCAUUACUUUACUGACGUUGAUACACGAAAGUAUAGGUAUCAAACAGGAUUAGAUACCCUGGU